GAUGAAGAACGUAGCGAAAUGCGAUAAGUAGUGUGAAUUGCAGAAUUCAGUGAAUCAUCGAAUCUUUGAACGCACAUUGCGCCCUUUGGUAUUCCUUAGGGCAUGCCUGUUCGAGCGUCAUUUGAACCCUCAAGCUCAGCUUGGUGUUGGGUGUCUGUCCCCGCCUCCGCGGGGACUCGCCUCAAAAUCAUUGGCGGCCGGUACGUUGGCUUCGAGCGCAGCAGAACCGCGAACUCGAGGCCCGGCGGAUCGGCGACCAGAAGUCUCUUCUUCACAGUUUGACCUCGGAUCAGGUAGGGAUACCCGCUGAACUUAAGCAUAUCAAUAAGCGGAGGA
rnacentral:misc_RNA from 1 species